GAAGGGUUGAGAGUAUCCCUCAUACAUUGUAUUUACUACCUAGCAAAGUUGUUCUAAAUCACAAAAUAAAGCUUUUUGCUCUUAGCUUUAUAGCAUUGAGAUUACUGAAUGACCAGGAAUGACCAGAAUGUGAACAUUAUUUAAAUAUUGCAAUUAAUAGUGUCCGGUAUCUACCUUAAAGAGAUGUGUCUGGAAUUAAUAGUGUCUGGAAUCUACCUUAAAGAGAUGUGCCAUGUCCUACAAGUAACUGAGUGCCAAGAGAGUACUGGAUAUAUAGCACUGUGCAGACAGCAAAACCUGAAACACUCACAUUCCCCAGCCAGAUGUUUUGAUAUUAGACUCCAGAUGCUGUCUCAAAAGUCUAUGGCAUUAAAGACCUGGUUAAGCCUGCUAGGUUUAUGACAACCUCCCCCUGCUCGAGUCGUCCCUGCCGUCCCUGUGUCCCUACCGAGUAAACCCAGCCAUGGUUGUUUGCAUCCCAAAUGAUGAUGGUGGUGACCUUAGUUAACAUCGCCUGCUUUGUUAGUGAAGGAAAUGAUGUGUCUCUGUUUGCUAGCUCUGGGGCCCAGUAUAUUUUUUGCCAAAGAAGCUCACAUUCAGUGGAGGGAUGACAGAGGAAAGGCCUAAUAAAGGCUUAUGAACUUCAUCUUGAGUGUAACACUGUUUCGUAUUGCAAGCCAGAGCUGCGCUGGGCUGUCCAAUGUGAUUAACAGGAAGAGCCAGGAAAACUUACCUGAUUAAAAUACCCCAAGUACAGUUGCCAAGUUUCUAUCCCCAAGAGGCAGGAAAAAAAAGAGACCAUAUGAGUUUCUCCGUUAUGGAAAACAUUGAGAAAGUAGAUGUGAGAAUGUGCUCUAGGCAGUUUGUUCAACAAUGCAUCAGGGAAAUUCAAGAUUGUGAGCCGAUUACCCAAUUGCUGAACAUGUUAUUUAAUUGUGGACUCACUUUUAUUCAAUCUUUAUUUUGUAAACCCAAUCUUUCCAGAUGUUUGAGACCAGUUUUAUCGGCACCAGACACAUUAGGGAAAGAAACCUUUCCAGCAUGUGCACAUAUUAUCUAACGCACCAGCUCUUGCAAAUAUUAAAUUUAAGACAUGAGCAAACAUGUUAUGGUAUUUUUCAUAAGUGUGGGUAAAUUCAUAAUUGUCAGCCUUUGUGGAUAUUUUGAACUCCCUUGCUUAUCAAAAUUUGAUAAUUUCAAAAUUAAGCAGUAGUUUAGCACUUGAUCCUUUUGUAGCAUUCUGGGAUAUCCGAGCUGGAUGUUUUUUAGUGACCAUCUUGUCCUGGGAAUGUUUAAUUAGAAACAAAUUUAUAAUUAAAACCUUCCUAGAAAAACUCCUCCAGGCCCAACUAGCUUCAUUGGCGAGUUCUGCCAUACUUUAAGAAGAAAUAAUACAGUGGAAUAAAAACAUACCAUUCAUAAUAUUAUCAAAGAUCAUGUAGUUUUAGAAAUAAAUAUAACACAGUAUGUGUAAGACCAGUACACUAGAUAUUAUAAAAUAUUGCUGAGAAAUUAAAGAAUUAAAUAGAGAGAUAUACCAUCUUCAUGAAUUUGAAGACUCAAUAUCGUUAAGAUGUUCCUUUUCUCCAAAUUGAUCUAUACAUUUAAUGUAAUGCCUAUGAGGCUUUUUUUUGAUGGGAAGUAGAAAUUGAUGAGCUGAUUCUAGAAUUUAUAUGAAUUUGCAAAAACCUGCAAUAUCCAGAACAAUUUUGAAAAAAGAAGAACAAAGUUGUAGAACCUACACAAUCUGAUGUCAAGACUUACUCUAAAGUUAUAAUAACCAAAGUGUGGUAUUGGUUUAAGAGUAAAUAUAUAGAUAAUGGAAUAGAAUAGAGAAUGUAGAAGUGGACCCACACUUACAUAGUCAAUUGAAUUUUUGUCAGUGGUGUCAAGAUAAUGGGAGAAAAGACAGUCUUUCCAACAAAUGAUCUAGAAAAACUGGAUAUUCAUAUAAAAAACAAUGUUAACCCUCACCUCACAGUCAUACAGAAAAAUUAACUCAAUAUGGAUCACUAACUUAAAUGAAAAAUCAAAAUUAUUGAACUUCUAAGAGGAAACUUUGUGACCUUGGGGAUAGGCGAGGAUUUCUUAGGACACAAACCCACUAACCAUAAAAAUUGUAAAUGUAACCAUAAAUUACAUUUCAUCAAAAUUAAUAUCUCCUGUUUUCUGAAAGAUACCAUUAAGAAAAAAGAAAAGAGAAGUCAUAGUUGAAAGAAAAUGUUUACAUGGCACAUCUGAUAAAAGAUAUGUAUCUCAAAUAUAUAAACUCUUAACGCAGUACUAAUAUACAUAUACAGCCUAGUAAAAAUGCAGCAAAAAGUUUGAACAGACACUUGGCAAAAGAAGAUUUAUAAAUAGCCCAUAGGCACAUGAAAAGAUGUUCAAUAUCAUUAGUCACCAGGGAAAUGUAAACUAAAACCACAAGGAAAUGUCAUUAGCAUUCACCAGAGUGGCGUGAAAUAAAAAGAAAAACUAUAAAUUGAGGAACAACUGGAACUCACCUACCUGGUUGAUGGAAGCAUAAAAUAAUAUAACUACUUAACAAUUUCUUAUGACCCAGUAAUUCUAAUCCUAGAGAUUUACCCAAGCCUUACAAAAACAUAUCUCCAUGUAAAAAGACUUGUGCAAGGAUGUUCAGAGCAGCUUUUUUGUUUUUAUAGCAACUUUUCCAAAAUAGCCCCAAACUGGAAAAAAUCGAAUGCCCUUCGGUUGGUGAGUGCGUAAACAAAAUGUAGGAUUAUCCAUACACAGGAUACUACUCCAUAAUACAAAGGAAGGAACUAUUACUAGCUGCAACACAAUGGGUGAAUCUCACAGAAAUUAUGUGGAGCAAAAGAAGAUGAUCACAAAAAUAUACUUACUGUAUGAUUCCAUUUCCAUGAAAUUCUAGAAUCAAGCAAAAACUAAACUCUAAUGACGGCAGAUCAGUGGUUACCUGAAGUCUGGGUAGGUGUAAAAGCACUGACUACAGAACGGCUCAAGAGAACAUUUUGGGGUGACAGUUACAUGACCAUAUGUAUACAUUUGGCCAAACUCCUCAACUUGUACACUUAAAAUGGGUGUAUCAACCAUAUGCACAUUAUUCCUAAAUAAAGGUGAUUUUUAAAAAAC